rnacentral:rRNA from 1 species
GCUGGCGGCAGGCCUAACACAUGCAAGUCGAACGGAGUUAUAUUGUAGCUUGCUAUGGUAUAACUUAGUGGCAGACGGGUGAGUAAUGUAUAGGAAUCUACCUAGUAGUACGGAAUAAUUGUUGGAAACGGCAACUAAUACCGUAUACGCCCUACGGGGGAAAAAUUUAUUGCUAUUAGAUGAGCCUAUAUUAGAUUAGCUAGUUGGUGGAGUAAUAGCCUACCAAGGCAAUGAUCUAUAGCUGAUCUGAGAGGAUGAUCAGCCACACUGGAACUGAGAUACGGUCCAGACUCCUACGGGAGGCAGCAGUGGGGAAUAUUGGACAAUGGGCGAAAGCCUGAUCCAGCCAUGCCGCAUGAGUGAAGAAGGCCUUUGGGUUGUAAAGCUCUUUUAGUGAGGAAGAUAAUGACGGUACUCACAGAAGAAGUCCUGGCUAACUCCGUGCCAGCAGCCGCGGUAAUACGGAGAGGGCUAGCGUUAUUCGGAAUUAUUGGGCGUAAAGGGCGCGUAGGCGGAUUAGUAAGUUAAAAGUGAAAUCCCAAGGCUCAACCUUGGAAUUGCUUUUAAAACUGCUAAUCUAGAGAUUGAAAGAGGAUAGAGGAAUUCCUAGUGUAGAGGUGAAAUUCGUAAAUAUUAGGAGGAACACCAGUGGCGAAGGCGUCUAUCUGGUUCAAAUCUGACGCUGAGGCGCGAAGGCGUGGGGAGCAAACAGGAUUAGAUACCCUGGUAGUCCACGCUGUAAACGAUGAAUGUUAAAUAUGGGAAGUUUUACUUUCUGUAUUACAGCUAACGCGUUAAACAUUCCGCCUGGGGA